rnacentral:rRNA from 1 species
AUUGAACGCUGGCGGCAGGCCUAACACAUGCAAGUCGAGCGGAGCGGCGGACGGGUGAGUAAUGCCUAGGAAUCUGCCUGGUAGUGGGGGAUAACGUCCGGAAACGGGCGGUAAUACCGCAUACUAUCAGAUGAACCUAGGGAGGUUUAGCUAGGUGGUGGGGUAAAGGCCUAUCAAGGCGACGAUCCGGAACUGGUCUGAGAGGAUGAUCAGUCACACUGGAACGAGGACACGGUCCAGACGCCUACGGGAGGCAGCAGUGGGGAAUAUUGGACAAUGGGCGAAAGCCUUAUCCAGCCAUGCCGCGUGGGUGAAGAAGGUCGUCGGAUUGUAAAGCACUUUAAGUUGGGAGGCGUUACCAAAAGAAUAAGCACCGGCUAACUUCGUGCCAGCAGCCGCGGUAAUAC